rnacentral:tRNA from 1 species
AGGCACUUAGCUCAGCUGGAAGAGCAUCCGUCUUAUACGCGGCUUGUCCUGGGUUCGAGCCCCAGAGUGCCCA